rnacentral:rRNA from 1 species
CCUACGGGGGGCAGCAGUGAGGAAUAUUGGUCAAUGGCCGGAAGGCUGAACCAGCCAAGCCGCGUGAAGGACGAAGGUGCCAAGCAUUGUAAACUUCUUUUGUCAAGGGACAAAAUCAGGCUCGAGAGCCUGACCGAGGGUACUUGAAGAAAAAGCAUCGGCUAACUCCGUGCCAGCAGCCGCGGUAAUACGGAGGAUGCGAGCGUUAUCCGGAUUUAUUGGGUUUAAAGGGUGCGUAGGCGGACUGUUAAGUCAGCGGUAAAAGCCCGGGGCUAAACCCCGGAGAGCCGUUGAAACUGGUUGUCUUGAGAUGUCGAGAGGUAUGCGGAAUGCGCAGUGUAGCGGUGAAAUGCUUAGAUAUUGCGCAGAACUCCGAUUGCGAAGGCAGCAUACCGGCGGCGAUCUGACGCUGAGGCACGAAAGCGUGGGUAGCGAACAGGAUUAGAUACCCGAGUAGUC